rnacentral:rRNA from 1 species
CCUACGGGGGGCAGCAGUGGGGAAUAUUGGACAAUGGGGGCAACCCUGAUCCAGCCAUGCCGCGUGUGUGAAGAAGGCCCUCGGGUUGUAAAGCACUUUCAGUGAGGAAGAACGCCUGGUGGUUAAUACCCAUCAGGGAAGACAUCACUCACAGAAGAAGCACCGGCUAACUCCGUGCCAGCAGCCGCGGUAAUACGGAGGGUGCGAGCGUUAAUCGGAAUUACUGGGCGUAAAGCGCGCGUAGGUGGCUUGAUAAGCCGGUUGUGAAAGCCCCGGGCUCAACCUGGGAACGGCAUCCGGAACUGUCAAGCUAGAGUGCAGGAGAGGAAGGUAGAAUUCCCGGUGUAGCGGUGAAAUGCGUAGAGAUCGGGAGGAAUACCAGUGGCGAAGGCGGCCUUCUGGACUGACACUGACACUGAGGUGCGAAAGCGUGGGUAGCAAACAGGAUUAGAUACCCGUGUAGUC